CCUCUUCAGGAUGAUGAGAUUAUCUCCUACCUCCUCACCGGCUUGAGUGAGGAGUAUGAUCCUCUGGUGACAUCGGUCACCACCAGAGCUGAUGCGCUGAUGCCGAGUGAGGUGUAUAGUCACCUUCUUAGCUUAGGGA